CAGUGAAGAAACUCUUUAUUGUAGCAGAUUAUGUGAUAAUGAACAUUGGAGUUGUAUUUAAACAUUUUUUUUUAAUGAAAAUGAGUAAAAUGGCUACUCGAUCAAGGGGUCGACAUGGAAACUUAUUCUUGCAUUUGUGAUAAAAAUUUGAAUUGUUUGUUAAUGCAUCUCAAAGCUUUCCUAAUUAAUUUUUUUUACAUCCUUGCAGCUUGUUCAUGUUUCUGGAUAGCUCUUGGAGAAUUUUGGAAAUUGAAGUUACAAGUCCAGAUGCAAGUUAGAAGAUGAACAAGAUCAAUAUCAUUCUAUUAUGGAAGUUAUGUAAAACAUGAUUUCAUAGUUUAGCUUGAGAUGUUAAUCACCUAAGUUUCGUUUGUUAAGAAAAUAUUGAAAUCUAAGUUUUGUUAACCAAUAUAUAUCA
rnacentral:lncRNA from 1 species